GACGAACGCUGGCGGCGUGCUUAACACAUGCAAGUCGUACGGUAAGGCCCUUUCGGGGGUACACGAGUGGCGAACGGGUGAGUAACACGUGAGUAACCUGCCCACAACUUUGGGAUAACGCUAGGAAACUGGUGCUAAUACUGGAUAUGUGCUCCUGCUGCAUGGUGGGGGUUGGAAAGCUCCGGCGGUUGUGGAUGGACUCGCGGCCUAUCAGCUUGUUGGUGGGGUAGUGGCCUACCAAGGCGGCGACGGGUAGCCGGCCUGAGAGGGUGACCGGCCACAUUGGGACUGGGAGACGGCCCAGACUCCUACGGGAGGCGGCAGGGGGGAAGAUUGCAGGAGGGGCGCAGGCCUGGUGCAGCAACGCCGCGUGCGGGAUGACGGGCUUCGGGUUGGAAACCGCUUUCAACAGGGACGAAGCUUUUUGUGACGGUACCUGCAGAAGAAGCACCGGCUAACUACGUG
rnacentral:rRNA from 1 species